rnacentral:rRNA from 1 species
UACGUAGGGACCAAGCGUUGUUCGGAUUUACUGGGCGUAAAGGGCGCGUAGGCGGCAAUUCAAGUCAUCUGUGAAAUCUCCGGGCUUAACUCGGAACGGUCAGAUGAUACUGCUUUGCUAGAGUGCGGAAGGGGCAAUCGGAAUUCUUGGUGUAGCGGUGAAAUGCGUAGAUAUCAAGAGGAACACCUGUGGCGAAGGCGCCUUGCUGGCCAAUUUCUGACGCUGAGGCGCGAAAGCGUGGGGAGCAAACAGG